rnacentral:rRNA from 1 species
ACUCCUACGGGAGGCAGCAGUGGGGAAUAUUGCACAAUGGGGGAAACCCUGAUGCAGCCAUGCCGCGUGUGUGAAGAAGGCCUUCGGGUUGUAAAGCACUUUCAGUAGGGAGGAAGGUAGUGUAGUUAACACCUGCAUUAUUUGACGUUACCUACAGAAGAAGCACCGGCUAACUCCGUGCCAGCAGCCGCGGUAAUACGGAGGGUGCGAGCGUUAAUCGGAAUUACUGGGCGUAAAGCGCAUGCAGGCGGCCUGUUAAGUCAGAUGUGAAAGCCCGGGGGCUUAACCUCGGAAAUUGCAUUUGAAACUGGCAGACUAGAGUACUGUAGAGGGGGGUAGAAUUUCAGGUGUAGCGGUGAAAUGCGUAGAGAUCUGAAGGAAUACCGGUGGCGAAGGCGGCCCCCUGGACAGAUACUGACACUCAGAUGCGAAAAGCGUGGGG